rnacentral:pre_miRNA from 1 species
GCUAAGACUGAUAAAAGCAAGCAAAUUAUUUACAGUUUGCUUUUGUUGGCCUCUGCUG